AGAGUUUGAUCCUGGCUCAGAUUGAACGCUGGCGGUAUGCUUAACACAUGCAAGUCGAACGGUAACAUUGGAGCUUGCUCCAGAUGACGAGUGGCGGACGGGUGAGUAAUGCAUAGGAAUCUGCCUAUUAGUGGGGGACAACAUGUGGAAACGCAUGCUAAUACCGCAUACGCCCUACGGGGGAAAGGGGGGGAUCUUCGGACCUCUCGCUAAUAGAUGAGCCUAUGUCAGAUUAGCUUGUUGGUGAGGUAACGGCUCACCAAGGCUGCGAUCGGUAGCCGGCCUGAGAGGGCGUACGGCCACACUGGGACUGAGACACGGCCCAGACUCCUACGGGAGGCAGCAGUGGGGAAUUUUUGUCAAUGGGGGAAACCCUGAACAAGCAACGCCGCGUGGAGGAUGAAGGCUUUCGGGUCGUAAACUCCUGUCGGAGGGGACGAAAGUGGCUAGGGUUAAUACCCCUAGUUAUUGACGGUACCCUAUGAGAAGCCCCGCUAACU
rnacentral:rRNA from 1 species